rnacentral:tRNA from 1 species
UGGCAGAGCCCGGAAAUUGCNUAAAACUUAAANCUUUAUACUCAGAGGUUCAACUCCUCUCCCUAACA